CAAAACCAACAUACAAUGGCACAAAAUGAAAUUCACCCCUCCAACGACAACCCAUGCAAAUUCGUGGAGAAAUUCUUAACCUGCACCAACAGUCAGUAAUUUUCUUAAUUAAGAGGCUUUAUUUCUUUUUGUAAAAAAUGCAUCUGGUUGAGCGCAGCUUUGGGUUGAGCAAAAUACUUGUUUCGUAGGCUAUUUGCUAAAUUAUGUUUGAGUAUUUUGAGUGCAGAAUACGGCAUCUUGGUGAUGUACCAUAAAUUACACUCUCUUACCUCACCAUUCUUUCGAACUACUUUCCCAGGUUUCCAGCCUCUUCAGGAUUUUCUUAAUGGAGUUCCCCUGGGUCAAGUUUAGGUUUGAACUAGGCAGGAGUUUCAUUGCUUAAACAGGGUGUUUCUAACCUAGAUGGGGUUUUCUGAAUUCCAUUUUGCAUCUUGGAGAUAAGAUUGAAUGCGGACUUCAGGUUUCAACUGCUUGAUAUAUGCUUUUCAAAUUGCAGUGUGCUCAUGUAAUGGCCAUGGCUGUUCAGAAGCUCUUUCCAGAUGCUAAAGUGACAAUUGGACCAUGGAUUGAAAAUGGGUUUUGCUAUGAUUUUGAUAUAGAGCCCUUGGGAGAUAAAGAUUUGAUGAAAAUCAAGAAGGAGAUGGAACGCAUUAUCAGCACAAACUUACCACUUGUAAGAGAAGAAGUUUCAAGGGAUAAAGCUUAAAGAAGAACUGAGGCAAUCAUCCAACCUGACAAGAUGGAGAGUUUGGAAAGCAUAAAGGAGGAUCCCAUAACCAUCUAUCAUAUUGGUAGGGAUUGCAAUCAUCUUUGGUACUUCUCUGUUUCACCUUUUGAGGGAUUUCAUCAACUUCUGCAAGGCGUAGCAGAAGUCUCUGAUGUUGAAAAUUUCCGAGCGUUGGAUACCAAGGUUUUCUCCUUAUUUAUGUUUACUUUGUCUUUGAAAAGAGUUGGUGCAAGCACAACUGUGAAUUCACUAGAGGACCUGUAAUGUAAAUUAUUAUAAUAUAUACUUUAUGCAUCCUUUUGUUUUUCCUUUAUGCAUCAAUUGCAGGCUGCCAGUGAAGAGUGCAUCUAAUCUUGUAUAUAUCUACAUUGGCAAUAUUGAUAAGGGGUUAAACAUUGAGAAAGGAGAGCUUAAGGUCAAACUCAAUUUGCUGCAUACAAGGUGUUUGAAAGAAUGUCGCAAUGAUAUAUCAAAUAUGUGAAACUAGGCGAUUGAGAAGCAACUUAACGUCUUCAUCCAUAGAGACAACAAGUUUUUUUUUUUUUUCUUUUUACCGUGUCUGUUUUGCCAUUGUUGAGGUUUACUGAGUUUCGGGUGAAAGAUUUACUGCGAUUGGCAGCAAUCCUGAAAUUUACUAUCAAUUGCAACAUUGAGAUUUUGCGUUUGGCAGCAAUCCUGAGAUUUACUAUCAAUUGCAACAAUGAGAUUCUUUUGAUAUUAAUUAUUUUCGUAUUCAAGUUGUUGUCGUGAGAGUGAUAUUUAUAGACAUGAAUGUUUUUGUUAUUUUUUCUUUAUAACGUAACUCGAAAAGAAGUUUUUUUU